rnacentral:rRNA from 3 species
GAUGAACGCUGGCGGCGUGCCUAAUACAUGCAAGUCGAACGAGUUCUCGUUGAUGAUCGGUGCUUGCACCGAGAUUCAACAUAGAACGAGUGGCGGACGGGUGAGUAACACGUGGGUAACCUGCCCUUAAGUGGGGGAUAACAUUUGGAAACAGAUGCUAAUACCGCAUAGAUCCAAGAACCGCAUGGUUCUUGGCUGAAAGAUGGCGUAAGCUAUCGCUUUUGGAUGGACCCGCGGCGUAUUAGCUAGUUGGUGAGGUAAUGGCUCACCAAGGCGAUGAUACGUAGCCGAACUGAGAGGUUGAUCGGCCACAUUGGGACUGAGACACGGCCCAAACUCCUACGGGAGGCAGCAGUAGGGAAUCUUCCACAAUGGACGCAAGUCUGAUGGAGCAACGCCGCGUGAGUGAAGAAGGCUUUCGGGUCGUAAAACUCUGUUGUUGGAGAAGAAUGGUCGGCAGAGUAACUGUUGUCGGCGUGACGGUAUCCAACCAGAAAGCCACGGCUAACUACGUGCCAGCAGCCGCGGUAAUACGUAGGUGGCAAGCGUUAUCCGGAUUUAUUGGGCGUAAAGCGAGCGCAGGCGGUUUUUUAAGUCUGAUGUGAAAGCCCUCGGCUUAACCGAGGAAGCGCAUCGGAAACUGGGAAACUUGAGUGCAGAAGAGGACAGUGGAACUCCAUGUGUAGCGGUGAAAUGCGUAGAUAUAUGGAAGAACACCAGUGGCGAAGGCGGCUGUCUGGUCUGUAACUGACGCUGAGGCUCGAAAGCAUGGGUAGCGAACAGGAUUAGAUACCCUGGUAGUCCAUGCCGUAAACGAUGAAUGCUAGGUGUUGGAGGGUUUCCGCCCUUCAGUGCCGCAGCUAACGCAUUAAGCAUUCCGCCUGGGGAGUACGACCGCAAGGUUGAAACUCAAAGGAAUUGACGGGGGCCCGCACAAGCGGUGGAGCAUGUGGUUUAAUUCGAAGCAACGCGAAGAACCUUACCAGGUCUUGACAUCUUUUGAUCACCUGAGAGAUCAGGUUUCCCCUUCGGGGGCAAAAUGACAGGUGGUGCAUGGUUGUCGUCAGCUCGUGUCGUGAGAUGUUGGGUUAAGUCCCGCAACGAGCGCAACCCUUAUGACUAGUUGCCAGCAUUUAGUUGGGCACUCUAGUAAGACUGCCGGUGACAAACCGGAGGAAGGUGGGGAUGACGUCAAAUCAUCAUGCCCCUUAUGACCUGGGCUACACACGUGCUACAAUGGAUGGUACAACGAGUUGCGAGACCGCGAGGUCAAGCUAAUCUCUUAAAGCCAUUCUCAGUUCGGACUGUAGGCUGCAACUCGCCUACACGAAGUCGGAAUCGCUAGUAAUCGCGGAUCAGCACGCCGCGGUGAAUACGUUCCCGGGCCUUGUACACACCGCCCGUCACACCAUGAGAGUUUGUAACACCCGAAGCCGGUGGCGUAACCCUUUUAGGGAGCGAGCCGUCUAAGGUGGGACAAAUGAUUAGGGUGAAG